CUAAAAGUACGCUCCUUUCUCUCUCUCUCUCACACACACCGACGAUGCAUUCUUUCUCUCUCUACCUCUGUCCGCUACUUCUACAAACCGACGAGAUAUUCCCCGCUGUCAAAGAUUCCCCCACCGGCCCCCCUUUCCCUUCGAAUCCCUAAAAUCUCUUCAUUCCAAUCUCCCUCACCCUAAUUUGCUGAUUCUUUGGGGUUGUUGCUACCAACAAUAUUCUGCUGAUUGUUUUGUUUGCGGUUGUUACCAACAACAACAAGUUUGGGGUGGAUUGUAUCGAGUUGGUUUUUUUGAUAGUUUGGGUUAUUACCAAGAAGUUUUUUGGUGAUAGUUUUGGUGAUCACAAGAAGUUAGUUUUCUAUUGGAAGUUUUUGUGUAUGGGCUGUGUGGGAUCGAAGCCGGACGAGUCACCGGCGGUGGCGUUAUGCCGGCAACGGUGCACGUUUCUCGACACAGCGAUCCACCAGCGUUACGCUCUCGCCGAGGCUCAUUUAGCCUACUGUCACUCCCUCAAAAACGUCGGCGUUUCGCUACAUCGUUUUUUUGACAUCCACUCCGCCGCCGCCGUGCACGGCGGCGACAGCCCUUCGUCGCCUGUGCUCAACCUUCCGCCACAAAGAAAAGGAGAACCGUCCAAGCCGCCGGUAGUUCCACCCGCCGUUCAUCACCAUUCGCAUUCGAAUUCCGGCUCUCACCUUCACUUUCACUCCGAUGAAGAUUCCGAUGACGACGACGAUGAUGACGGUCCUCUUCAUUUACACUCCGUUGAUGGAGACUCACCACCUCUGCAUCAACACGAACGGUACAAUAAUCUGCCGUAUAAUAAUACUUCACAUGAAAAUUUCACAACUCCAUCUUAUCCUCCGGUAAAUUACCCUCCUUCGGGUUAUCCACCGGUAAAUUAUCCACCUUCGGGUUAUAAUUACCCACCGCCUGCGGGUUAUCCUCAACAGGAUUACCCGCAGGCGGGUUAUCUCCCAUCAAGUUACCCUCCAGCAGGUUAUCCUCCAGCGGGUUAUCCGCCUGCUGGAUAUUCUCAGGCGGAUUACCCGCCGGGUCGGUACACGAUGAAUUUUAUGAGGAAGCAACCCACGCAGUCUGUUGUGUACCAGCAACGGCCAAUGAGUCCCGAAACUAUACAUUAUGGUGAAGCAUCUUCAUCGUCUUCGUAUUAUAACAACGGUUAUAAUUAUCAGAACCCUAAUUCUUACUCGAAUAAUAAUAACAACAAUUACUCUAGUUAUGGUGAGUAUUUCGGGUCGUCUUCGUCUUCUCAACAACCGCAGUAUAUACAGUCUGAAGCAUCGACUUCGAAACAGCCUCCUCCGCCUCCACCGCCCCCGCCUGCUAGCUCUACUUGGGAUUUUUUGAACCCGUUUGAAUCGUAUGAAAGUUAUUAUCCUCCGUAUACACCGAGUCGGGAUUCAAGAGAAGUUAGGGAGGAGGAAGGUAUUCCUGAUUUGGAAGAUGAAGAUUAUUACCAACAAGAAGUUGUGAAGGAAAUACAUUCUUCGCAUCCGAAGUUCGUAGAUGUUGCUAGUGGUAGUGGUAGCGGUGGUGGUGGUGGUGGUGGGGGUGGUGGCGGUAGCGGUGGGGGUAAUGUGGAUUCGAAGAAAGCGGCGGUUGUUGAUGAUGAGAGUGAGAAAAGUUCUGUGGUUGAUUUGCAUUACAGAAGUGGACCGGGUGUACCUGAAGAAGAAGAGCCCGUUGAGUUUGAAGUUCAUGUGGUCGAUAAAGGAGAAACAUCUAGAGGUGAAAAACCGCUUCACGAGUUUCAUAGCGAUUCUGAAGUUGUAAAGGAAAUUCAAAUCCAAUUCGAUCGUGCUUCAGAAUCCGGGAAUGAACUAGCAAAGAUUCUUGAAGUUGGAAAGGUUCCACACAACCGAAAACACGCAGCCUAUCAAGUUUCUUCGAAAAUGUUGAACAAAUUUUCACCGUCACUAGCAGCAGCAGCCUAUAAAAGCUCUGAUCCUGCUGAUGUCGACGUAGAGUUAAGAACGAGGUCUAAAAAUCUUUCAUCUACUUUGCAUAAGCUCUAUAUAUGGGAGAAGAAAUUGUUUGAGGAGGUUAAGGUUGAGGAGAAAAUGAGGUUACUUCAUGAUGAAAAGGAUAUGAAACUAAAACGUUUAGAUGAAAAGGGCGCGGAACCGCAUAAAGUCGAUGCAACAAGAACAUUAGUUAGAAGUCUUUCAACCAAGAUAAGGAUCGCGAUUCAAGUCGUCGAUAAGAUCUCUGAGCAGAUAAAUAAAUUGAGAGAUGAAGAGUUGUGGCCACAAUUAAAUGAAUUCAUUCAAGGGUUAACGAGGAUGUGGAGGUCAAUGCUCGAGUGCCAUCGUAGUCAAUGUCAAGCCAUUGGAGCUGCUAAACGGUUAGACGCGAUUGCUUCCAGCAAACACUUUUCUGAUGAUAGUCUUGAAGCCACAUUACAAUUAGAACAUGAACUUCUAAACUGGACUAUUCGAUUCUCAUGUUGGUUUGGAGCACAAAAGGGGUUCGUGACAUCCUUAAACAACUGGCUUCUUAAAUGUCUUUUGUAUGUACCUGAAGAAACUGCCGAUGGACCGGUUCCCUUUUCUCCUAGCCGAAUAGGUGCACCAACCGUGUUCAUAGUUUGUAACCAGUGGGCUCAAGCCAUAGACCGGAUAUCCGAUAAGGAAGUAGUGGAGUCGAUGCGGGAUUUUGUGAAAGUUGUUCUUAUGUUGUGGGACCGUGAUAAACAAGAAAUGAGACGGAGGUUAGCAUUGCAUAAAAACAUGGAGCGAAAAGUUAAGGAUUUGGAGAGAGAAGAUCAAAAGAUUCAUAAAGAAUUGCAAGUGCUCGAUAAACAAAUCGUUCUUUCUUCUGAAAAAGAUAACGGGCUUUCGGCAGUGUAUCAAAGUGAGACCAGUAAAAGCGUUAGCGCACAAACGAAUCUACGGCUUGUUUUUGAGGCCAUGGAAAGAUUUACAGCUGCAUCUUUGAAAGCCUGUGAAGAACUAUUGCAACGUAUAGAAGAAGACAAAGUUUCACGAGAGAGAGAGCGUGUUUCAUAAAGAACCAUCAAAAGAAACGUGUAACGAAGUAUGGAACCUAAAGGGUCGAGUCAUGGCUCGGUGAGUGUCAACUAGACCAUGUUUUGGUCAAUGAGCUCGAGCCCAUCUGGUCAAUCAAGUGCUCUAGGUGUGGGAUUGAGCAAUUAUCAAAUGGCCUUUAAAAGGCCACACUUUUGGGGAAGGGGUGAAAAGGAGAUCUUGAAGCCACGGACUACGCGACUGCGAAUCUUGACACCAACCCAUGUCAGUUUUUGGUAGCCGGAGCUCCGAUAACUCUUUGGAUCCCGUCGGUAGUUUCAGGGUUGGUUCCUUGCUGGCUUGGCUAUCUUUAGUGCAGGAUGCCACAUGGCCUAAUCUCAUUGGUGAUAGUGCUAAGAAGUCAAGAUGUUGACUCUGGGUAGAGGUUGGAGGUGAUGGAGGCUGUGCUUCUUCCAUGGCUGCCCUUUGCUCCAACACCUUUAUGGAAGUUGCCUUUCUGUAUAUUUUACACAGCACUAUGUCCUGCCAAUUGAUUAAUGAUUAAUGUUUUAUAAUAUGUCCAA